rnacentral:tRNA from 1 species
CGAUGUGGCCGAGUGGUCUAAGGCGCCAGGUUAAGGUCCUGGUCCGCAAGGGCGUGGGUUCGAACCCCACCGUCGU